GCAUUCUACGUCCAAUCUCGACUCUAUCUCUCCCCCAUUCUCUCUUUUGAUUUCUAAUUUCAAAUUUCGAAAUGAAAUCAGAUCUGUCUCCCUUGACUUUCUUUUCACUCAAAAUGGGAUGCUUUGCAAUGGCCGUUGCAACCACCAAUGUCGUUGCUGCCAUGAAGUCAAUGCUCUAAACCGACCUACCAUCCUUUGUGAUCUGCGUCCACUUUCAUUAGGCCCACAGCAAUUGUCCAAAUCUUCAAGAACAUGUAUAUAUAUAUUAAGGAUGUGUUUGGUUUGAAAGGAAGAGAGGUUAAUUUAUUUGGCUUUGUUGGAGGGAAAAGAAGGGGAGGAAUUUUUAACGAUUCUUUAUUUGGUUUAGAAGAGAAAGGGAGGAAAGAUAAUAACUAAUUUACUAUUAUAUCUCUAUAUAUUAGUUGAAAAUUUUUAAAAUUUUUUUUUGUAGAAAAUAAUUUUACACCUCAAUUUAAACUACAUGAUUUUUUAAAAAUUCACUCUCAUCCUAUCAUAUUGUCAAUAUGUGAAAAAAAAUUAAACUAAUAAUUAUAAUAAUAACAAGUUUUUAUAAAAAAAUAAAUAACUAAAUAUAUAAUAAAAUAUGAUAGAAUGGAACUUUUUUUAAAAAAAAUUCAAUGAGGUCAUUCAAAAUUUGGAAGUGAAGCACAAUUUGAUAUGAAGAAAAAAUUUUUAGUUAUAGAUACCCUUAAAAUAUUAAAAAUUAAAUAAGAGUAAAAUAGUAAAAAAAAAAUAGCUUACUUUCUAAAAAAACCUUUAAUUUGGGAGGGAGUAAUAUGAAGAAAAGGGAAGAAUUACUUUUUAACUAAACGAGGGGAGGGGAGCAUCUCCCUCACCACUGAAGUACUAUAAUGGUGAAAUUCUAGCGCUAUGUUCGUUGGGCGGAGCAGUCAAGAUCCUUUUUUCCUCACUUCGUUCACUGUGGUUGCAUCAACUAAAUGGUCUUAUUUCAAAAGCCUCUUUUGCCAUUUUCUCUUGGAGUUCCGAAACAGGGGAGGAUUUCCAAGUGAUGGCUAACCAAUUUUGGAGGCAUCUUGGCAGUGACAAAAGGUUCUUUUCUAGAAUUACAUUGGCAAUGAGAUUAAGAGCAAAAGAGAGGAAGAAAAAGCAAAGAAGGGAUUGAUACAACUCUGGGAGAGGAAGAAUUGAGUUACAGAGGGAAAGGAAUCAUUAGAUAGGGAAGUUCCACAAUAAUCAUCCAAACCCUUUUUUCCAAUUAAGCAUCUUUUCUUAAUAUAGCUUCUAUGCCUCUCACUUCUAUACAUAUUUGUAAUUACUUUUACACAUGAUGAGCAUACUCCAUUUUCCCUAUGUGAUCUUCAUUGCUCAUCCCUUCACUAUGUUUCUUUGCAGUAUCCUCAUCUUUGGUCCUUUGCAUUAUAUUUCAGUGCUUGGGUGAUGCCCAUACUUUCUUUCUCUUCUUCUCUUCUAAGUGUUGGGAAAGUAGAACUAUAUACAUCUAUUUUAAUUUUAUUAAUAGGAGAUGCGGAUUGUUCUAAUUAAACUCAUAUUAUACACGAAUUAUUACUUUAAUAUAAUAAAUUUGUUGUGAUAUUAUCAGUGAUAAUUUCUACUAUUUUUGCGGUCAUGAACCAUGGAGGUUGGAGGAAGUGGUUGAGAAGAUGGUAGAUAUGUCAAGAGAAUUAUUCCAACUUGCAAAGCUUCUUCGAUGCCAAUGGUGAAGGGAAAGACUAGAUAGGUGGUGGCUUAUGAUUCACCUUCUAAGUGACAAAGGGCGUGCUUGAUUACAGUUUUCAUAACAAUUUUUUGUUUUGAAAAAAAAAAAGAAAAUCAAAAACACUUGUUCGAAAAUGAAUUUCUUGUUAUGUAUUUUGAAAAAAAACAAGUUGUUUCGAAAAACUAGAAAUCCAAAACGUGUGUUAUUUUUUGUUAUGCAAAACUAGAGAAAAGGCAAAAGAUAUGUUUUCAUUAAUGACAAUGAUGAUAACAAAAUAAAUUUUAUUUUCACUCUUUAUUUCACAACUUUAAAUAUGUUUUUCAAAAUAAUGAUUCAAAAAGAUUUUUUUUAUUUUCUAUUUCCAAAACUUGUUCUAAAAACUAUUUUACAAAAUUGUUUUAAGAAUAUCGAAACAAAAAAACAUAUACAAGCCUAAAGUUAUUAUUCUGGGAGGUCAAACAAGCCUAAAGUUAUCCUAGUAUGGUGGAAAGUUUUGUUUGGUGGUCAAGGCAAAGAGACUGAAAGAAACAAAUGAGAAAUAGGGCACAAACUCACAGCGUAACGUAUCUAAAUGACUUGCUUGUUUUUAAUUAAGGAAUUGAAAUGCAUACUUUUAAUAUUUUUCUCAUUCAUGAUUGUUUUUUUUUUUUCCUACAAAAGCACUCAUUGAAACCUUCCUAUGUUCUGAUCUGUUUCUAUUUCUUCUCCUGUCACCAUCAUAUACUCAUCUUAGCAUGGUCUGUGUUGUUGUUUAUCAUAUAGAAAUGAGGAAAGAAGGCACCAUUGUAAGCAUGUAGCAAAAUAUAGAAUAAGAAGGUAGCGUUGUAUAUACUUAAAUUAAGAGACAUAAAGUAGCAUAGAGUUAAUGGCAAAAAAUGUUGUAUAUCAUCAAGAUGAGGGCUCCAAGCUCAAGAGAAAGCUUUGGUUUCAAUGUAUGAGUGCCUUGAAUUUGGAUGCAGGUAAGAUUUUGUGAAAUUUUUUGCUGUUUGUGGUAAAGUUUUGAUCUCUUCUUUAGACUAUUUUUGAGCAUAUUUAUCUAAUUUUAAAUGCAAAAUUUUGCAAAUUCAGCAGCUUUUACUAUGCUUAUGGUGAGGAUGGUUUUAUAUGGGCUGGAAUUCUUCCUCCCUCUCAUCCCUGGAUUGUGAUGGAAUCAACCUGCAUCAUCACAUUCCAAACCUAAAGAUCCCAUAUCAUUCUUCUUAUUAUUAUCUUUUGAUCUCGUUUGCGACAUAACCAGAAGGAUGCGGUUCCGUUGUGGCUUUGCAAGCACAUGGUUUUGCUUCAGGUCAGCGGGGACAUGGUUCCACACUAGCUCUACAAGUGUAUGCUUUUGCUCUGGCUCCACAAGGGUGUGGUUUUGUGCUGGCUGGAUCCAUCGCUCCAUAAGCGUGUGGAAUCUUCCUGAUUUGAUUCUCCAUGUGUGUUAAUCUUUGAAUGGAUCUCUAAGUGUUCUGAUUCUCAUAUCACUAGCUUUUGGGGAGCCUAAGUCACUGAUUCCAUGGAUGUGCAAAUCCUUGAUUUUGCUGGUGCACAA